GCCCUUGUGGCUCAAUGGUUAAGCAUUUGGUUGCUAACUGAAAGGUUGGUGGUUCAAAUCCACCCAUUGGCU
rfam:Loxodonta africana unplaced genomic scaffold scaffold_5, whole genome shotgun sequence.